rnacentral:rRNA from 1 species
UACAGAGGUCUCAAGCGUUGUUCGGAUUCAUUGGGCGUAAAGGGUGCGUAGGUGGCGCCGUAAGUCGGGUGUGAAAUUCGUGACUUAACUCCGAAACUGCAUUCGAUACUGCCGUGCUUGAGGACUGGAGAGGAGACUGGAAUUUCAUGGUGUAGCGGUGAAAUGCGUAGAUAUCGUAAGGAAGACCAGUGGCGAAGGCGGGGUCUCUGGA